rnacentral:rRNA from 1 species
AUGAACGCUGGCGGCGUGCCUAAUACAUGCAAGUCGAGCGAACAGACGAGGAGCUUGCUCCUCUGACGUUAGCGGCGGACGGGUGAGUAACACGUGGAUAACCUACCUAUAAGACUGGGAUAACUUCGGGAAACCGGAGCUAAUACCGGAUAAUAUAUUGAACCGCAUGGUUCAAUAGUGAAAGACGGUUUUGCUGUCACUUAUAGAUGGAUCCGCGCCGCAUUAGCUAGUUGGUAAGGUAACGGCUUACCAAGGCAACGAUGCGUAGCCGACCUGAGAGGGUGAUCGGCCACACUGGAACUGAGACACGGUCCAGACUCCUACGGGAGGCAGCAGUAGGGAAUCUUCCGCAAAGGGCGAAAGCCUGACGGAGCAACGCCGCGUGAGUGAUGAAGGUCUUCGGAUCGUAAAACUCUGUUAUUAGGGAAGAACAAAUGUGUAAGUAACUAUGCACGUCUUGACGGUACCUAAUCAGAAAGCCACGGAUAACUACGUG